GAUGAAGAACGCAGCGAAAUGCGAUAAGUAGUGUGAAUUGCAGAAUUCAGUGAAUCAUCGAAUCUUUGAACGCACAUUGCGCCCCUUGGUAUUCCAUGGGGCAUGCCUGUUCGAGCGUCAUUUGUACCUUCAAGCUCUGCUUGGUGUUGGGUGUUUGUCUCGCCUCUGCGUGUAGACUCGCCUCAAAACAAUUGGCAGCCGGCGUAUUGAUUUCGGAGCGCAGUACAUCUCGCGCUUUGCACUCAUAACGACGACGUCCAAAAGCACAUUUUUACACUCUUGACCUCGGAUCAGGUAGGGAUACCCGCUGAACUUAAGCAUAUCAAUAAGCGGAGGA
rnacentral:misc_RNA from 1 species